GAUGGUCAUAUCACGUUGAAACACCGGUUUCUGUACGAUCACCGAAGUUAAGUAACGUUGAGUUUGGUCAGUACCGGAAUGGGCGACCGCUUGAAAAUACCAGGUGCUGUAAG